rnacentral:rRNA from 1 species
UGGGGAAUAUUGCACAAUGGGGGAAACCCUGAUGCAGCGACGCCGCGUGAGCGAAGAAGGUUUUCGAAUCGUAAAGCUCUGUCCUAUGGGAAGAUAAUGACGGUACCAUAGGAGGAAGCCCCGGCUAACUACGUGCCAGCAGCCGCGGUAAUACGUAGGGGGCAAGCGUUGUCCGGAAUCACUGGGCGUAAAGGGUUCGCAGGCGGAAAUGCAAGUCAGUUGUGAAAGGCAGAGGCUCAACCUCUGUAAGCCAUUGAAACUGUAUUUCUUGAGAUGUGGAGAGGCAAGUGGAAUUCCUAGUGUAGCGGUGAAAUGCGUAGAAAUUAGGAAAAAUACCGGUGGCGAAGGAGUCUUGCUGGACACAAACAUACGCUGAGGAACUAAAGAGUGGGUAGCAAACAGG